rnacentral:rRNA from 1 species
GUGACCUCAAAUCAGGUAGGACUACCCGCUGAACUUAAGCAUAUCAAUAAGCGGAGGAAAAGAAACUAACAAGGAUUCCCCUAGUAACUGCGAGUGAAGCGGGAAAAGCUCAAAUUUAAAAUCUGGCGGUCUUUUGGCUGUCCGAGUUGUAAUCUAGAGAAGUGUUAUCCGCGCUGGACCGUGUACAAGUCUCCUGGAAUGGAGCAUCAUAGAGGGUGAGAAUCCCGUCUUUGACAUGGACUGCCAGGGCUUUGUGAUGCGCUCUCAAAGAGUCGAGUUGUUUGGGAAUGCAGCUCAAAAUGGGUGGUAAAUUCCAUCUAAAGCUAAAUAUUGGCGAGAGACCGAUAGCGAACAAGUACCGUGAGGGAAAGAUGAAAAGAACUUUGGAAAGAGAGUUAAACAGUACGUGAAAUUGCUGAAAGGGAAACGCUUGAAGUCAGUCGCGUUGUCCAGGGAUCAACCUUGCUUUUGCUUGGUGCACUUCCUGGUUCGACGGGUCAGCAUCAAUUUUGAUCGUUGGAAAAAGGCCAAGGGAAUGUGGCAUCUUCGGAUGUGUUAUAGCCCUUUGUCACAUACAAUGGUUGGGAUUGAGGAACUCAGCACGCCGCAAGGCCGGGUUUUAAACCACGUACGUGCUUAGGAUGCUGGCAAUAUGGCUUUAAUCGACCCGUC